GACGAACGCUGGCGGCGUGCUUAACACAUGCAAGUCGAACGAUGAAGCCCAGCUUGCUGGGUGGAAGAGUGGCGAACGGGUGAGUAACACGUGAGUAACCUGCCUUUCACUCUGGGAUAAGCGCUGGAAACGGUGUCUAAUACUGGAUACGACCCUUACAGGCAUCUGUUGGGGGUGGAAAGAUUUAUCGGUGAAGGAUGGGCUCGCGGCCUAUCAGGUAGUUGGUGAGGUAACGGCUCACCAAGCCGACGACGGGUAGCCGGCCUGAGAGGGUGACCGGCCACACUGGGACAGAGACACGGCCCAGACUCCUACGGGAGGCAGCAGUGGGGAAUAUUGCACAAUGGGCGAAAGCCUGAUGCAGCAACGCCGCGUGAGGGAUGACGGCCUUCGGGUUGUAAACCUCUUUUAGUAGGGAAGAAGCGUAAGUGACGGUACCUGCAGAAAAAGUACCGGCUAACUACGUGCCAGCCGCCGCAGUAA
rnacentral:rRNA from 1 species